rnacentral:lncRNA from 1 species
GGCCGAGGCAGCAGAACAGGACCAGACAAGGCCGGCCAUCAGGAUGGCCUCCUGAACCCCAAGGCCACAUGGAGCUGUUCUCCCCCAUCUCUUCAUCACUUCAUUCAGUCCUGCACACACCUGUGUCUGUACGUUGAGCCAUUGAUUCACUUUGAGAUACAUACAUAGAGCUCUGACUGCAUACAGAACACUACGCGGGCCAGAAACGAGAAACUAAGCAGCCCAAGUAGAGAGAUAAGUGUCUUUGGUAUUAAUGACUCUAAUCAAGGCAGCAGUCUUCAAAACUCAGGAGAAAAGGGUGCUUUGAGGGAGGCACAGUGCUCCAGGGUGGUUGGAGGUCCCAGUUGACAGAGGACAAGGUGACAAAGGAAAACUCCAGUGGGAAGGUGCGAGGGAAAGGGUGAAGAAGGAAGGGACUUUACAUUCUGGAUCAAAGCCCAGAGUGGAGUGGACUGUGGUCUGUCUCAUGUCCCUGAAUGUUUGAACAUUUACUAAGCCCUCCUUCUGGACCGAAGCUUCUGUACCUGGCUUGGUUGAGAGCUUCCAGCCUCGAUAGCUGUCAAUGUGGGGCACAUUAACAUGGCAGAAUCUGAGAGGCAGAGGUUGGAAGCAGUUGCAGCAUGCACCUCUCUAGUCCUCUUUAGGAAACAAAUCACCAUUUUACAAAUGCAGAGAUUAAGGCCAAGAGAGAGAAUGUAGCCAAACCUCUCUAAUAAUCCCAGCAGUGAAUUCUAUCACUGGUCACUCACUGAAAUAUGAACCCACGUCUGUUUGCCCUGAAGAUCAUGCCUUUUCCUUAUGGCUGUGGGAAGUUCAGGAGGCUACCUGGGACAGGAAAUGAAGAAUGGAUUCUAUCGUCAGCCAGGCUGAGGUUCAGAUCCAAG